rnacentral:rRNA from 1 species
CAGUAGCCGCGGGAAUACGAAGGGUGCAAGCGUUACUCGGAAUUACUGGGCGUAAAGUGUGCGUAGGUGGUGGUUUAAGUCCGUUGUGAAAGCCCUGGGCUCAACCUGGGAAUUGCAGUGGAUACUGGGUCACUAGAGUGUGGUAGAGGAUAGUGGAAUUUCCGGUGUAGCAGUGAAAUGCGUAGAGAUCGGAAGGAACAUCUGUGGCGAAGGCGACUAUCUGGGCCAACACUGACACUGAGGCACGAAAGCGUGGGGAGCAAACAGGAUUAGAUACCCGUGUAGUCCCUGUCUCUUAUAC